rnacentral:rRNA from 1 species
AUUGAACGCUGGCGGCAGGCCUAACACAUGCAAGUCGAACGGUAGCACAGAGAGCUUGCUCUCGGGUGACGAGUGGCGGACGGGUGAGUAAUGUCUGGGAAACUGCCCGAUGGAGGGGGAUAACUACUGGAAACGGUAGCUAAUACCGCAUAAUGUCGCAAGACCAAGAGGGGGACCUUCGGGCCUCUUGCCAUCGGAUGUGCCCAGAUGGGAUUAGCUUGUUGGUGAGGUAAUGGCUCACCAAGGCGACGUUCCCUAGCUGGUCUGAGAGGAUGACCAGCCACACUGGAACUGAGACACGGUCCAGACUCCUACGGGAGGCAGCAGUGGGGAAUAUUGCACAAUGGGCGCAAGCCUGAUGCAGCCAUGCCGCGUGUGUGAAGAAGGCCUUCGGGUUGUAAAGCACUUUCAGCGGGGAGGAAGGCGAUACGGUUAAUAACCGUGUUGAUUGACGUUACCCGCAGAAGAAGCACCGGCUAACUCCGUG